rnacentral:rRNA from 1 species
GGCGGCGUGCUCUAACACAUGCAAGUCGAACGAGAACGGGCUAUACCUUGCCUACUACUUGUCAGCUAACUGGACGCACGGGUGACUAAUGUAUAGGCCAUAUGCCUCUCUACUAAGGGACUAACAAAUGGCAACGUUUGCUAAUACCUUAUACUCCUUACCACCAGAAGCUACUCAGGGAAACAUUCACUGCUAACACAUCAGCCUGUAUCGUCUCCGCUAUUUCGUGGGGUAAUGGCUUCCCCAUACCAUGACACCUAACCGGUUUCAAACGAUGAUCAUUCUCACUGGAACUGAGACACGGUCCCGACCCCUACUCCAGCGCAGCAGCGGGGAAUAUUGCACAACGCACGGAACUCUGAUGCAACAACGCCGCGCGGAGGAUGACACAUUUCGGUGCGUAACCUCCUUCUCUAUAAGAAGAUAGUGACGGUAUUAUAUGAAUAAGCACCGGCUAACUCCGUGCCAGCAUCCGCGGCCAUACCGGGGGUGCUAGCGUUACUCGCAAUCACUGGGCGUAAACAGCAUGUAUCCGGAUUAAUAAGUCUGAAGUGAAAUCCUAUAGCUUCAACUAUAGAACUGCUUUGAAAACCGCUGAUCCUACAUGUGGGACAGGUAAAUGGAAUUUCUCGGUGUAGGGUAAAAUCCGUAGAGAUCACCAAGAAUACCGAUUGCGAACGCUAAUUUCUGGAACACCCAUCGACCCUGAAAUGCGAAAGCCUGGGCAGCAAACAGGAUUAAAUACCCUGGUAUUCCCCGCUAGUCCGUCGCCCUAAAAAAGAUUAGCACUAGUUGGGUGUGUAGACUAGAUGUUGGCAGUAAUGGCAGUUCACACUUUAUUGUGUACGGGAUGGGGAGUUCGGUAGCAAGAUUUUAAAUCGAAGGAAUGGGGGGGUACCCGCACAAGCGGGGGAGCAUGUGGUUUAAAUGGACGAUACACGAAGAACCUGACCAGGACUUGACAUAGUAAGAACUUACUAGAGAUAGAUUGGUGUCUGCGAGCAGAAAGUUAUAUGCAGGUGCUGCAUGGCUGUCAUCAGCUGGUAUCGUGAGAUGUUGGUUUAAGUCCCGCAACGAGCGCUACCUUUGUGUUUAGUUGUUAACAGUUGGGCUGAGAACUCUAAACAGACUGCCUACGCAAGUAGGAGGAAGGUGAGGACGACUUCACGUCAUCAUGGCCCUUAGGUCCAGGGCUACGCACGUGCUACAGUGGGAUAUACAAAGAGCGGCAAUAGGGUGACGUGGAGCAAAUCAUAUAAAAUAUCUCCCAGUUCGGAUUGUAAUCUGCAACUCGACUACAUGGAGUGGGAAUCAAUAGUAAUCGUAGAUCAGCUGUGGAAUGGUUAAUACGUUUCCGGGUACGCUACUCUCCCCCCGACACACCUUGGGAAUAGAAUUCUUUCGAAGCAUGGAUGUUAGAGAGUACGCUCCCUUCUCACAGGGGAUUUGGAGAUUGGGGUAAAGUCGAAACAAGGGUAC